AGAGUUUGAUCCUGGCUCAGGAUGAACGCUGGCGGCGUGCUUAACACAUGCAAGUCGAACGAUGAUCCCAGCUUGCUGGGGGAUUAGUGGCGAACGGGUGAGUAACACGUGAGUAACCUGCCCUUAACUCUGGGAUAAGCCUGGGAAACUGGGUCUAAUACCGGAUAUGACUCCUCAUCGCAUGGUGGGGGGUGGAAAGCUUUAUUGUGGUUUUGGAUGGACUCGCGGCCCAUCAGCUUGUUGGUGAGGUAAUGGCUCACCAAGGCGACGACGGGUAGCCGGCCUGAGAGGGUGACCGGCCACACUGGGACUGAGACACGGCCCAGACUCCUACGGGAGGCAGCAGUGGGGAAUAUUGCACAAUGGGCGAAAGCCUGAUGCAGCGACGCCGCGUGAGGGAUGACGGCCUUCGGGUUGUAAACCUCUUUCAGUAGGGAAGAAGCGAAAGUGACGGUACCUGCAGAAGAAGCGCCGGCUAACUACGUGCCAGCAGCCGCGGUAAUACGUAGGGCGCAAGCGUUAUCCGGAAUUAUUGGGCGUAAAGAGCUCGUAGGCGGUUUGUCGCGUCUGCCGUGAAAGUCCGGGGCUCAACUCCGGAUCUGCGGUGGGUACGGGCAGACUAGAGUGAUGUAGGGGAGACUGGAAUUCCUGGUGUAGCGGUGAAAUGCGCAGAUAUCAGGAGGAACACCGAUGGCGAAGGCAGGUCUCUGGGCAUUAACUGACGCUGAGGAGCGAAAGCAUGGGGAGCGAACAGGAUUAGAUACCCCCGUAGUCC
rnacentral:rRNA from 1 species